ACUCCUACGGGAGGCAGCAGUGGGGAAUAUUGCACAAUGGGCGCAAGCCUGAUGCAGCCAUGCCGCGUGUAUGAAGAAGGCCUUCGGGUUGUAAAGUACUUUCAGCAGUGAGGAAGGCAGGUACGUUAAUAGCGUGCUUGUUUGACGUUAGCUGCAGAAGAAGCACCGGCUAACUCCGUGCCAGCAGCCGCGGUAAUACGGAGGGUGCGAGCGUUAAUCGGAAUUACUGGGCGUAAAGCGCAUGCAGGUGGUUUGUUAAGUCAGAUGUGAAAGCCCGGGGCUCAACCUCGGAAUUGCAUUUGAAACUGGCAGACUAGAGUACUGUAGAGGGGGGUAGAAUUUCAGGUGUAGCGGUGAAAUGCGUAGAGAUCUGAAGGAAUACCGGUGGCGAAGGCGGCCCCCUGGACAGAUACUGACACUCAGAUGCGAAAGCUGGGGGAGCAAACAGGAUUAGAUACCCUGGUAGGAUAGCG
rnacentral:rRNA from 1 species